AAUGACUUGGUGCUAUUAAGUUUUCUACUUUUGGAUUAAAAGAUGUGCGGUUGGGAUGAUGUGGGCCUCCUAGGGUUGAGUGGGUGGUUAGUUGAAUAGUAUAAUCGAACGGAUGAAAAUGAUAAAAGAGGUAAAUUUAAUAGCAGAAAACUUGAUAGCACUAAAUGUUUCUUGCUAUCGAUAGCAUCCCAGCCGGACUCUCUCU
rnacentral:lncRNA from 1 species